GAUGAACGCUGGCGGCGUGCCUAAUACAUGCAAGUCGAGCGAACGGACGAGAAGCUUGCUUCUCUGAUGUUAGCGGCGGACGGGUGAGUAACACGUGGAUAACCUACCUAUAAGACUGGGAUAACUUCGGGAAACCGGAGCUAAUACCGGAUAAUAUUUUGAACCGCAUGGUUCAAAAGUGAAAGACGGUCUUGCUGUCACUUAUAGAUGGAUCCGUGCUGCAUUAGCUAGUUGGUAAGGUAACGGCUUACCAAGGCAACGAUGCAUAGCCGACCUGAGGGGGUGAUCGGCCACACUGGAACUGAGACACGGUCCAGACUCCUACGGGAGGCAGCAGUAGGGAAUCUUCCGCAAUGGGCGAAAGCCUGACGGAGCAACGCCGCGUGAGUGAUGAAGGUCUUCGGAUCGUAAAACUCUGUUAUUAGGGAAGAACAUAUGUGUAAGUAACUGUGCACAUCUUGACGGUACCUAAUCAGAAAGCCACGGCUAACUACGUG
rnacentral:rRNA from 1 species